AUUUGUAAUACACACGUGUUUAGAUAGGUUAGUCGUUAGUUUGUUUACAAAUUAUAACAACAGAGCAGCAGAUUGUUUUAUAACUGCGAAAACUGUACAGUAUUGUUUAGUGUGAGUUCAAUAAAUAUAAUAUUAUCUCAUAAUGGCUAAUAGUGAAAAGAGUGAUGGAAAAAAGAAAAAAAAGGGAAGGAUGUACGAGAUGAAAAGCAGAGAACAAAAAAGCAAAAGCAAAACAGGAAUAAUCCUGUGACUAAACGCCUGUACUUAGUGACAUCCAUUGUUUUCUUAGUUUCUUAGUUUAUAUUAUCAAUACAUUUUUCUAUCAUUA
rnacentral:lncRNA from 1 species